rnacentral:rRNA from 2 species
GUCCUUUAGAAUAGAAUUUAAGGUCUAACCUGCCCACUGAUUAUUUUAACGGCCGCAGUAUUUUGACUGUGCAAAGGUAGCAUAAUCAUUAGUUUUUUAAUUGAAAGCUUGUAUGAAUGGUUGGACGAGAUAUAAUCUGUCUUUAAUUUAUAAUUAGAAUUUAAUUUUUAAGUUAAAAAGCUUAAAUAAAUUUAAAAGACGAGAAGACCCUAUAGAUCUUUAUAAAUAUAAAAAUUUAAUUUUUAAGGAUUAUUAAUUUUUAUAUUUUUAAAUUUAUUUAAUUGGGGUAAUAAAAAGAUUUAAUAAAUUCUUUUUAUAUUAAACAUUGAUAAAUGAUUUUAAUGAUCCAUUAUUAUUGAUUAUAAGAUUAAGUUACCUUAGGGAUAACAGCGUAAUUUUUUUUGAGAGUUCUUAUCGAUAAAAAAGUUUGCGACCUCGAUGUUGGAUUAAAAUUAAUUUUGGGUGCAGAAGUUCAAAGUUUUAGUCUGUUCGACUAUUAAAAUUUU